GGCCCGGGAACUACGAGCACAAACGCUUAAAACCCUAAGGACUUGGCGGUGUCCCAAAACNCCCUAGAGGAGCCUGUUCUGUAAUCGAUAACCCACGCUACACCCAACCCCUCCUCGCCCCAGCAGCCUAUAUACCGCCGUCGCCAGCCCACCUCGACAUGAGAGCACAACAGUGAGCACAAUAAUUUUCCCCAUUAAUAAGACAGGUCAAGGUAUAGCCCAUGGAGGGGAAGAAAUGGGCUACAUUCUCUAACUUAGAUCACACGAAAGAAGGCCUGAAACAGCCCUCAGAAGGAGGAUUUAGCAGUAA
rnacentral:rRNA from 1 species